rnacentral:lncRNA from 1 species
AAACAAAGUACCCCAGGGUGCAGGGGGAAGUGGGAGAGGGACAGAGGAGCAUAGGGAACAUUGGCAAGGAGAGCAUAUUUGAGGAGGAAGUUGGAGUGCUGUUUGUGAUGUUGGGCAGAGAGGCUUAUAACAGGAGCCUGUGCGUUCCCCCAAACUUCAUCCCUGACUACUUGUUCCAGCUCUUCUGUGACUCCUGAACUAUGACUCUAGCCUUGGCAGCCCAAGCAAGGCUCAUAAAUGUUUCCUAGCAUCUCAGAAUCCCAGGGGUUUUCAGCAGAAAUCCUGAAGUAGUCCAGCUGUUGCUCAUCUCAUUUUUGGGGGGUACCUCCCACUGUUUGGUUUUUUUGAAUGUUCUGGUUUUGCUUUUGUCUUUACCUGGUCUGGCCCUGUCAUCCCCAGCCCCGAGAAAAGGUCUCCAGAACCCCUGAGAGGUCAGGGCUGGCCCAGGACCCUCACAGCUCCCAGUGAGGUCUGAGCCUGGUACCUGUGUCAGCAGCCCAUGUGGGGCCCCAGCCAAGCUGCUCACUCUGGUGCUGUCUCCCUGUUGUGUCUCCCACCACCUUCCCUGCUGCGCCUGCCCCUCCCCGCCCCGCCCCGGAGUCAUGCCCUCUAGCCCCCCGCUGGCGGCUGCCUCCUCCAUGUCACUCCCGGCCGCUGCCCCCACCACCAGCGUCUUCUCCUUCUCGCCUGUCAACAUGAUCUCCGCCGUCAAACAGAGGAGCGCCUUCGCCCCCGUGCUGCGCCCCCCAAGCUCCCCACCCCAGGCCUGCCCCAGAGCCCACGGAGAGGGGCUUCCAGACCAGUCUUUUGAGGAUUCUGACAAGUUCCACUCUCCAGCCCGGGGGCUUCAGGGCCUGGCGUACUCCUAAUUACGGUCUGCAGCUGUUCCCAUGGAGCCCGGACUGGAGGUCCCUCUGGGAUUCACAGCCACACCCUGGAUGGUGGCACAGACAGAUGCAGGGCCAGGGCCAUGGGCAGACCUCAACCCGUGAGCUGAACGGGGAGAGGCCUUCACCCCAUGCUCAAGCCUCCCCGCUAGCAGCCCCACAGGCUUCUCUCGCCUCCCUGUCUUGGGGUAGUCAGAAGCCCCAGCACUGUGCAGAUGCUCUUGGCAGGACAGCAUCCCAGGGAGGUGCUGGGAUUCUGGGCCUCACUGUCUGGGUCUUGGUUCCUCUGAAAGAGAUGGAUUUUGUGCAGACCAGGGUUGUUGAGUGAGGGGAGCGUGGGAUGGGGACCGUGGGAAAGAGGACAGCUCAGGGAGAAGUGACCUGGAAAGGUCCUGUUUGCAUCUGACCCAUCUCAACUUGCCCAGCAUCCCAACUUCUCUGCAGCGAAAGGGUGGAGCCCUGCAGCCUCGGGAGGCCUGCCCAGGCUCCCGUGGAGCUUCCAACAGCUGCUUGGCCCCGCAGCUGCCCCCACUUCCUUUGAGACCUGCACUCUCAUGCUUGCCGCAUCAUGCCUCCCUGUGGGGGCUUUGGGCAUGGAGGAGGCAGAAGAGGGGGUGCCAGGCCUCCUGUAUUUGGGGUCUUCCCCCGGUGGAUGUCUCAUGGACUCUGGCCCCACACACUCACAAUGACUCUGGCUGGCCCCAUGCAGCGGGCCCAGGCGGCCUCACAUUCUGCUCUGCUAAGUUUGGAGAAAACAGAACAAUAAACCAGAUGCAGGUGGUGCCCGCCCGGCCUCUCACCUGCCU